rnacentral:tRNA from 1 species
GGGGUCGUAGCUCAGUUGGUUAGAGCGCUUCCCUGUCACGGAAGAGGUCGCGGGUUCGAGCCCCGUCGAUCCCGCCA